CGAGAAAGCCCGCAAGGGUGAGUAAAGCGGCGCACGGGUGUGUAACACGUGGGUAAUCUGCCCUGAAGCCCGGAAUAACUCGCCGAAAGGCGUGCUAAUGCCGGAUGAGACCACGGGGUCUUCGGACCUCGCGGGAAAAGGUGGCCUCUGUACACAAGCUAUCACUUCAGGAUGAGCCCGCGGCCCAUCAGCUAGUUGGCGGGGUAAAGGCCCACCAAGGCAACGACGGGUAGCUGGUCUGAGAGGACGAUCAGCCACACUGGAACUGAGACACGGUCCAGACUCCUACGGGAGGCAGCAGUGGGGAAUCUUGCGCAAUGGGCGAAAGCCUGACGCAGCAACGCCGCGUGUGUGAUGAAGGUCUUCGGAUCGUAAAGCACUGUCGCGAGGGACG
rnacentral:rRNA from 1 species